GGAGAGGUGGCUGAGCUGGCUGAAGGCAACGGUUUGCUAAACCGUCGUAGGGGUAACACCCUACCGAGGGUUCGAAUCCCUCCCUCUCCGCCA
rnacentral:tRNA from 1 species